AGCGGGUUGGGGAAGCCAGGCCUAUCCCGCGGGGCUCAUAACCCCGAGAUCGAAGGUUCUUACGCGCUGACUCCCAGCACGUAGCCGAAAAAUCCUUCACCCGCUACCA
rnacentral:tRNA from 1 species